AGAACGAACGCUGGCGGCAGGCUUAACACAUGCAAGUCGAACGCGUGUAGCAAUACACGAGUGGCGCACGAGUGAGUAACGCGUGGAUAUCUGCCUUUUGGUUCGGAAUAACCCCGGGAAACUGGGGCUAAUACCGGAUGGUUCCUACGGGAUAAAGAUUUAUCGCCAAAAGAUGAGUCCGCGUACGAUUAGCUAGUUGGUGAGGUAAUGGCUCACCAAGGCGACGAUCGUUAGCUGGUCUGAGAGGACGAUCAGCCACACUGGGACUGAGACACGGCCCAGACUCCUACGGGAGGCAGCAGUGGGGAAUAUUGGACAAUGGGGGCAACCCUGAUCCAGCCAUGCCGCGUGAGUGAUGAAGGCCUUCGGGUUGUAAAGCUCUUUUGGCGGGGACGAUGAUGACGGUACCGCAGAAUAAGCCCCGGCUAACUUCGUGCCAGCAGCCGC
rnacentral:rRNA from 1 species